UCUAGGAGCCCUGCUGUACCAUCUCAGAACGCUGGGAAUGGGCAGAAAAUACAGCUCGUCUCUCCAGGGACAGCUGUGGAGUCCAGGCCUGAAUUUCCACAGUCCCAGGUUCCACGUAGGCUGACAACUACACCACCAUCAGCCCAAAUUACGGCAUCUUUAAAACAAUAUAGACUCGGAAUGGUGGUGUAGGCCUCUAAUCCCAGUACUGGGAAGGCAGAAGGGUGAAGACUUUGAUACCAGUCUGGGCUGCGUAGUGAAAACCUAUUACAAAAGCAAAGCAAUGGAAGACCAGAGUGCGUUUAUUCUGCACACAAAGACAUUCAUAUGCAAAGGCUGUGAGGCUAGAACAGCACAAGAAGACAUUUUUCCUACACCAGUUCAAUGUUAUUUAAGUGUCUAGUACAUCUUAGCUCUUUCAGGAUGAUGAAGAGAGACCCCGGAAAUGGAGAGGACCGUCAAUCCUGACCUCUCCCUUUGGAACUUUCUACCCAGGUCAUCUGUGAUACUGAUGAAAAUAUAUGUCACAAGUCUGGAGCAGAUCCCUGCAUGUGUACGCCGGAAUGAUGUGUGUUAUUGUCAUGUGCCUGCCUGUCUGGGAUGGGUGUUUGA
rnacentral:lncRNA from 1 species